ensembl:snRNA U6 U6 spliceosomal RNA
GUACUCGUUUUGGCAGCACAUAUACUAAAAUUGGAACGAUACAAAGAUUAGCAUGGCCCCUGCGCAAGGAUGGUGCAAAUUCGUGAAAGCGUUCCAUAUUUUU